UACGGAGGGGGCUAGCGUUGUUCGGAAUUACUGGGCGUAAAGCGUACGUAGGCGGCUUUGUAAGUUAGAGGUGAAAGCCCGGGGCUCAACCCCGGAAUUGCCUUUAAGACUGCAUCGCUUGAACGUCGGAGAGGUGAGUGGAAUUCCGAGUGUAGAGGUGAAAUUCGUAGAUAUUCGGAGGAACACCAGAAGCGAAGGCGGCUCACUGGCCCGGUACUGACGCUGAGGUGCGAAAGCGUGGGGAGCAAACAGG
rnacentral:rRNA from 1 species